GUCAAAGAUUUUGUCAUGCUGGGAGGUUAUUGAAAAAAAAUUGUCAAAAUUUUCUAUACCCUUAUUUGUACCUUUAUCGAGAAGCUUUCGGUAUGAUGGGUGACUAAGGGAUUAUUCGAGGCAAAGAUAUACGAAGGGAACCUUAGCUGAAUCGUGCGAUAAGAACCCCAUUGACUGCGUACAUUACCCAAUAGAUUGAUGUUAAGGGUGAUUCUCACAGGAAUAGCUAUAAAAAUAAAUGGCAGGUCUGAUAACAGAAGACGUGGAAAUGGAUCUGCAAAUUGCAUAGGAACAGCCAUAACGAGGCGACCUGCUAUGAAGGACGAAUAUGGGAAAAAUUGGUCGUGUAUUUUCUUGAGAAACCAGAGUGACAACAGGCAAGUUAACGACUUCAUGAUUAUUCAUGGGGAUGAUUAAGCCUUCGUUACACUAUACCACGCUUAAUCUUGGUAUUACUUCAUAUCUCUUCGCAUGCAGCUAAUUUUCGUCUACGGAGAAAAUUCUAAUUUACGCAACCUUCCACAUUGUUAAACGAGCACGUGUUAAAGGAUGCCCAACGUCCCGACAACCCUGAUGCCUCACAGAGACUCCUUUGGUCUAACGCUAAGUGCAACGUAUACGGAUGGAAGCUGAACGAAUAAUUAAAUAUUUUUUCAUGUGGUUAUUAAUUACUAAAUUUUGUAAUGAUUUAUCUUUACAUAUAGCACCACGAUG